ensembl:antisense
GAGAAGGCGGCAGCCAGCCGGGCUGACCCACCCGAGGCGAGGCGGCGGAGUCCCAGCGACCAGGGACGCUCCGGGGGCACGGGGACCUCAGCGCAAACCCGGGACGCAGACGCUGUCCCCAGCGACACCCUGCCCACAGCCAAGACUUUUUAAAGUGAGUUCGCUUACCUUCCGAUUUCUACGGCCUCAACUCAGCAAUCAAAAGCAAUCACAGCAGAAUUAAACAAAAAUAAGAUCAGCAGCAGCCAGUUGACCAAUACGGUGCUGCAGAAAGGAAGAAAGAAAAGAAAGGGAAAGAAGAGAAAAGAAAAGAAGAGAGAGAAAAAAAAAGAAAAGACAGACAGACAGAAAGGAAAUUAAAGGUUUAAAAAAAAAAGACUCUACUGCCCAACCUUCUGCAGGACCUUGUCAUUGAAAUGCAGACCUAUCCCAGUGUGAGGGAAUCGUAUGAAGCACUAAACCUGGAGAUUAUGGAGUAUCUAACAGAAGCUAGAUUGGGAGAAAGCAGCUGAACAGCACAAGACAAGGUCAGUUCUGUCUCCUUUUCUUUCCAAGCUGACACCUGGUACUUAACAUUGAACACAAGAAUAUGUUGCCUCCUGGGAAUUACGCCAGCACCCGGGCAAACAACCACUGACGCCCACUCCUUACAAAGUGAAGCCCAACUCUUCACAGGGAAAAACAGGUAGGAAACACCAUUUUAAUACUCAGGCAUUAAGAACAGGCAGACGGUCUUUUCUUUUGCAUCAUCUUUAAUGGCUAGACGAAACAUUUCAAGUCUGAGCUGUAGGACUUGUAUAUUCUAAUCCCGAGUCCGUGAUUUCUUUCUAUCUCUAGUGUCUUUAUUAUUUUACAGACAUCCUCCUCACCCAUAACAGAUUCUCAAACUACCUCCACUCACUCACACUCCCUUCCCCAUGCGAGAUUUUUGAUUCAACCCAGGGCAUAUGGAUAAAUAAAAUAGGUUAUGUAAACCAAAUGUGUGCUAGUAUCCCAAAGAAAAUGGUAACUAUUCUUUGAAAUACAUAUAACUGCACCUUUCAUGGGGAUGCUAAUGUUCAGACACUGGACACCUCUUGCUGUCCACUGUGUCAAAGACAUUCCCAUUAGUCAGAUUUAUUCAUUAAAUUACAGUUUUCUAAAUGGCAUGAGAAUUUCAGUUUGGGAUAUACUAUGCCUACAUUACUAAUUUAGUGCUUAUUAUUUAUAAACAUAAAUACAUUCAGACAUUAAGAAAAUCAAUAAGGAUAAUAAAAAAAACCCUCUGGCAUCUACUUGGAAAAAUACAAUAGUAUUAAAAGAGUCCACCUUUUCAGAAAGUUUUGAAAGUUAUCUGUACAUUGCUGCUUUGUUGCUGUUGUUACUUCUACCUCUCUUGUGUCAUCCAUGCCUUUCCUCACAGCCUACAUUUAAACAUCUCCUCCAGACCACAGAAGGUCUUUACUCUGAAAUAACCCUUUAGACUCGAAGCUACUGUGCAGAAAGCAAGGAAACCCUACCCUUCCAUUCUCCAUGUGAAUGUGUAAGCGAGAUUUUAGGAAUGGCAAAGCCAGUCAACAAGGAAUUGUUGAACUCAAGUCCUCUGAAAUCGCUGUAGUGUGUGGAAGGCCUGCCUCUGAUCCCAGGGCUGCAGUGUUUGCUUGCAAAGACUGUGGCUGACCAGACACAGUACAGAUGAAAUGCCGUCAAACAACUUCUUGACCUCUGAAACAAUAGGUGGGGCCUGCUUGAAUCAUAAAACUAACAGAGUCAACAAUUAAACACGGUUGUAACAAUGAGGGUGUCUCCAUAUUGGGCCACCAAAAGUACUUGAAAGAACAGAAUUGCUUUACAAUAAACUGGCGAGGAGGUUGAUGCUCCACACCUUCAUGGACAGAUAAAGACACUGACUGCAGCCAUGACAAACAAUGCUCCACAGAAAUGUGCUGCUUUCCCUUUCCCUCAGCAGUCUCUUCCAGCUCAAGCCAUUAAAGGACACAUUUUAAAGCCGGGCACGCUAGAUUUCUCUCCACUGAGCCGAUCGGGCUCUCUUUUACCACUAGCUGACCAAGGAGCCACACAAUUUUGAUAGGUAGUGUGGUGGCUUCUGGUCCCACCCCCUACCCCAGGACUCUGUCUCUAGUCUCUCGCCAUCCUGCACAGAACUAGCCCUGUGAGUUGUCUCUGCUGAGGUGACUUGCUGGUCACAUGAUCAACUCUGACUCACAAUACUGAAGAAAAGAGGGAACUUCGGAGCCAGUUUGUUAUUUGGCUUAAGGAAUUCUCUUUGAUUUUUCUAGUUUUGCCAUGGUGUAGAACUAAUAACAUAGCGAGAGGAAGAGGGCAGCUAGUUACUUCGCUCUUCUUCUACCUCUAGUGCUUUCAGCCUUGGGACGAAGCACAUUCCCACUAGGAAAAGGAUUUGUGUAAUGGUUUACAAAGCCUUCUAUGCUGAGGUUUGCCAAGGUAGAUAAACUUUCAAUUCAUCCAAUUGUUCUAAUUAGAAUUAGUUAGCAUUCAGUGAAAAGGCUUUACAAGUUCAAUGUCAAUAUUAAUAUAACUUCAUACACAUGGGCAUGUGUAUGUGCUUGUGAGCACGUGUCCAUGCCAGUGUCUAUGUAGCAAAAGUUUUUUUUCCAUUUUUUCCCUUUUAUUGUAUAUUUUCUUUAUUUACAUUUCAAAUGUUAUCCCCUUUCUCCAGUCCCCCUACUGAAACCACCAUCCUAUCCCCCCUCCCCCUGCCUCUAUGAGAGUGCUCCGCCACCCACCUACUCACUUCCACCUUCCCACCCUGGCAUUCCCCUACACGGGGGCAUGGAACCCCCUCAGGCCCAAGAGCCACUCCUCCCACUGAUGUUCAACAAGGCCAUCCUCUGCCACAUAAGAGGCAGGAGCCAUGGGUCACUCCAUGUGUACUCUUUGGUUGGUGGUCUAGUCCCCGGGAGCUCCGGGUGGGGGUGGGGUGGGAGGGAGGGGAGGUCUAGCCAGUUGACACUGUUAUAGCAAAAGUUUUAAUCAAAGAGAUUUCAAAUUUUAUUUAAAAAAAUACAAAAACGGGUGUUGUGUUACCAAUGCUUUUAAGUAUAUUUCAAGUCGUAAAAAAAAAAGUAGAUUCAAAUUAUUCUGAGAGUAAAACUAAGAACAGGAAUCAUAGCCAUAGCAGGCGACUACAGUAAUGAGCACUUGCUCACUGUGAGGAGACAAUGUGCUAUUUUGACACAAAACUAUUGAGGAAGUCCCCAAAUCUAAUAUAGAAUCAUUAUGGUGUUGAUAUUUUGUUAUGGCCACUUGAUACCUAAGGGAGUGAAAAUGAGAGAUGGGCAGUGUCACUUAGACAGUGGAUUCACCACUUAGACAGGUAAGAUGGCUCCCGACUAGAGUCCCAAGCCACUCACUGUGUCCCCAUACAGUUAUCUGAACCUAUGCUGCUUAGUAGGGAGGCUACCAGCUGCAUGUGGCUAUUUGAAUAGAAACAUUAAUUAAGAUGAAAAUGAGCUUCUCAUCUCAGUCCCACAAGCCACAUGUGGCCAGGACCUACUGUUAAAGACCCUUAUCUGCGACGCAGGUACAAAAUGGUUCUGUCUCUGCGGUAGUCCUAUUGGUCAGUAUUUACUGAGAACUGGCCAGAAUGGGUUUCUUAGCCUCACACACCAGCUACUAAUUAAGGGAGUGGAUUGAUUAGAGUCAACAAAAGUGUUAGCAUGGGGCUGGGGAGAUGGCUCAGAAUAUUUACUGUACCAGUAUUAGGACCUCAGUUUAGAGCCUCAGGACCACUGUAGACAAUGGGCAGGAGCAUGGCACUAGUCACCUGUUACCCUAGGCCUGGUGGGAGGAGAGUUCACAAGGGUAGACAGAUCCUAGGGGUUAUCUGGCUACCUAAAUGGCAAGCUGCUGAUUCAAUGAGAGGACCUGCCCAUAAACAAACAAAUGAAGAAAUAAAUAAACAAAUAAAUGGAGCAAAGGAAGACGUCUCAUGUGUAAUUCUGGCUUCUGUGUGCAAGUGUGUGUGUGUGUGUGUGUGUGUGUGUGUGUGUGUGUGUGUACACAUGCACACACUGGAUCACACCUGCAUAAACAUGAGCAUAUAUAUGUGCAAGUACCAUAUACAUGCAGCUAUUUUUAAAUUUAUUUUUCAAUUCUUCCUCAAAAUUUAAUCCAUUUUCCUCUCCUCCUCAAGAUAAGCUGAGGAUUCAAAAAGCAUCCCAGAUACCCUGUCUCAGAGAGACCAGGUGGAAAUAUGACCAUAGCUGUGUCUGCAUCUAUCAUGUGAGAAGCAGUUGGUACACUGAGAAAAGGCAGAAUUAAGACUCAGGGAAGGAUAAUGCUGGAGGUCCCAGAUCUAGAUCCCUGCAUCUGUGAACUAGGUACAUGAAGUGAUCUACUUGAGACUUGAUUUCACUUCUAGGUAAGACAAUGUGAUCUUACACAUCUGUGUAAGAUGCUCUUAGGUUGGGGAUCCUAAGAAUCAAAUAAAUAGUAAGAAACAUUCAUAUAUAUGAAUGAAAAUGAAGACAGGGGGAAGAGAGUCCAUGUGCCAGAAGUGCUGAAACAGUGCCUACACAGUUAUAUGCUCACAGGCCAGAGAUGCUGGAACAAUGCCCACACAUUUAAACACUCACAGGGCAGAGUUGCUUACAAUUCAUUAUCAUAGAGCAUCCCUAGCUAAAAGGCAUUUGGCAGGUUGCAAUACAAAACACAGCUUCUAAGGGUAGCCAUGAGUAUUAAAUGUCUACAUCCUUUAAACAACUGUAUCUAGAACUUUUUUCUUCCAAAAGACCAUUACUACACUCCUCUUCCCAGUGUUGUUUUCACAGAACUAAGAAGCAGAUUCUCAGGGCUUAUUCUCGAAUGUUCUAAGGUGACACAUCUCAUGUUAAGUUUAGAAAUCUGUGCUUUGAAACUGUAUCCCUGUUUGGAUGUGUGAGGUCCAGGGAUCACGGUUUGAAACAUAAUAUAUGAGAGAUCCAAGAUGCUUGAAACAUCAAAGUCAGCUGUGAGUCUACAUCUGCAGGAACUCUAUCAACCUUACUUCUGUGAGAAUAAACCAAGAACUCAUGAGAGUGGGUAAGAUAGCCUUACCUCCUCCAAGGUAGGAGACUCAUGGGUUUCAGGACAACCUCAGCUCCAUAGCAAAAUUGAGACCAAGCUGAUAUACACAAGAUCCUGUCUCAAAAUACUAAAACAAAAUUUCAAAAGAUAUCGAUCAUCUUAAACACCUAAGAUAUAGCUUUUGCUAUUUUACUCACUUUUCCCCAUAGGGAACAUUAACUGGGUUUGUCAUCUCAACUAUCACCGUGGCAGGAGGAGGAGUCAGGGUACAAUUUAACUAAGAGCAUUUCCUUCACCACAGGUGCUGGGCCAAACUGAAAAACAAACGAAAGACCAUUCGCGGAAGACACAGUUUGGAGAUGGUGUCAACUCAUGCACUAGAAGUUGUUGAAGUGAUUUGUUUAUUAAUGGCUUUCUUUAGGUUUUCUCUGGGACAGUUAUAAGAGAAAGACUUGAAUUUGAACACCAGAGAUUCUCUCUG